rnacentral:misc_RNA from 1 species
AACGCACCUUGCGCUCUUUGGUAUUCCGAAGAGCAUGCCUGUUUGAGUGUCAGUAAAUUUAUCAACCUUUCUAACUUGUUUAGUAAGGAUUGGAAUAUGGGGGUGUUGCAGGCUUGUAAUAAAGUUGGCUCCCCUUAAAAGUAUUAGUGAGGCCUAUGUUGCCCAUCACUGGUGUGAUAAUUAUCUACGCCAUUGAAGGUCUUCAAUUUUAAAAGGACUUGCUUAUAACUGUCUCAUUAGAGACAAUCUGACAAAUUUGACCUCAAAUCAGGUAGGACUACCCGCUGAACUUAA